rnacentral:rRNA from 1 species
GACAGAGGGGGCAAGCGUUGCUCGGAAUUACUGGGCGUAAAGGGCGCGUAGGCGGAAUGGCAAGUCGGUCGUGAAAUCCUUCGGCUCAACCGAAGAACGUCGAUCGAAACUGCCGUUCUUGAGGAUUGCAGAGGAGACUGGAAUUCCCGGUGUAGCGGUGAAAUGUGUAGAGAUCGGGAGGAACGCCGGUGGCGAAGGCGGGUCUCUGGGCAAUUCCUGACGCUGAGGCGCGAAAGCGUGGGGAGCAAACAGG